AUGCAUGUCUAAGUAUAAGCAAUUAUACAGCGAAACUGCGAAUGGCUCAUUAUAUAAGUUAUCGUUUAUUUGAUAGUACCUUACUACUUGGAUAACCGUGGUAAUUCUAGAGCUAAUACAUGCUAAAAAUCCCGACUUCGGAAGGGAUGUAUUUAUUAGAUUAAAAACCAAUGCCCUCCGGGGCUCACUGGUGAUUCAUGAUAACUCCUCGAAUCGCAUGGCCUUGCGCCGGCGAUGGUUCACUCAAAUUUCUUCCCUAUCAACUUUCGAUGUUUGGGUAUUGGCCAAACAUGGUUGCAACGGGUAACGGAGGGUUAGGGCUCGACCCCGGAGAAGGAGCCUGAGAAACGGCUACUACAUCCAAGGAAGGCAGCAGGCGCGCAAAUUACCCAAUCCCGACACGGGGAGGUAGUGACAAUAA
rnacentral:rRNA from 1 species